AGAUUCACAAGGAUCUCUGGUAGCUAAUGCUGACGUUUCCACAUGCAAUGCUGACGGUGCUGAAUGUAAAGAAACCGAAUCCAAUAAGGGAUCAUGCAAAGCUGGGUGUGUGAAGGAUCCUGCUAUUCCUGACUGUUCCUCCUCAAAAUGUACAGCACCAGAGAAAUGUUCCUGGACGUGCGAAGGU